CAAAAUCCCACGAUAGGUUGAAUACAGCAGAAAUCGGCCAUCGUGUUCUUGCAGUUUACAGGCCACAUCAUAAUUGUGAAACGUUGAAUCAGUCAUGGCUUCUGUUGUAGCUGCGGCUGGCAUCGUUACCACUGUAGUUGUAACUGCUGGCAUCUACAUAAGGCUACGCUUCCCCACCAUAUUGUCGGACCUCCAAUUCAUUCGACUAAUCGCUGGCGUGAUACUAGAGAGGAAAAAGUUUGCAAAAACAUGCUACACCGUGAUAGACUUGUUCAUGGAAAGCGUUGAUAGACAUCCGACGAAACCAUUGAUUUUAUCGGAGGACAAGUCAUUGACAUAUGAAGAAGUAGAUAAGCUCUCCAAUAGAUUUGCCCACUAUGUCCGUAAGGAUGGUACUUUGAAGGUGAAAGAUGUUGUAGCGGUGUUGAUGCAUAACGGACCAGAAUUAUGCUGGACCAGCCUAGGUCUUGGCAAAUUAGGCAUUACCGGUGCCUUGAUUAAUUUCAAUUUGAGGUCAAAUGCAUUACUGCAUUGUAUUAAAGUUAGCAAAGCUUCUAUUGUCAUCUGUGAAGCUGACGCAGGUCUUAUCGAUGCACUAACCGAUAUCGAAUCUGGAUUAGAUGGGCUAGGCAUACAGGUAUGGUUGAUCGGUAAACAGGUAGAGCACCCUGUGACACCUCGAAUGAAACAUAUUUCGUGGGAUGUACAGUCACAGCCUGAUCAUAGACCGUCAAGACACCUUCGGGAUGGCUUGGAAUUAAGUGAUUCUGCCCUGUACAUCUACACCUCAGGAACCACAGGCCUACCAAAACCAGUUCGAAUUACGUGGAACAAGCUCCAUGGUGGAUCAUACAUUUUGACUAUUUAUAAUAAAGGCCCAGAUAACGUCGUUUACAGUCCGUUACCGAUGUACCACAGUGCUAGCUAUAUCAUCGGCUUCAUGGGCGUAAUCAGGAUCGGUAUGACUCUUGCAUUGAGAAAGAAAUUCUCCGUGAGAUAUUUCUGGGACGAUGUGCGAAAGUACAAUGCUACGAUCAUCCAAUAUAUUGGGGAGACCUGCCGUUAUCUUCUGGACGCUCCUAAGAGUCCAAGUGACGGCGUUUACGACCAUACUAUUGAACUAGCAAUUGGAAAUGGCUUGCGUGCCAAUAUCUGGACAGAAUUUCAGACGCGCUUCAACAUUCAACAGAUUGGAGAAUUCUAUGGUUCCACGGAGGGCAAUCAAUUGACCUUUAACCUUGAUGGAAAAGUCGGUUCAUGCGGACGACAAACCAAUUUUAUGAGGAUGUUGACAGGUACUUUUGAAGUCCUUGAGUGUAACGUGGAGACAUCAGAGCCCAUCAGGAGGAGUGACGGUCUGUGUACUAUACUUCCGCCAGGUGAGGCGGGACUGCUAGUCAGCAAAGUGACGUCGACAUCACCAGUAGAUGGAUAUGCAGCACCAAAAGCUGUCAAUGAGAAGAAGUUGAUUCGAAAUGUCAAGAAGCCUCUUGAUGAGUAUUUUAAUUUCGGAGAUAUAUUGUUAAUCGAUAAAGAAGGCUACUUAUACUUUAAGGAUCGCCUUGGGGAUACCUUCAGGUGGAAAGGAGAGAACGUAGCAACCACGGAGGUCGACAAUGUCCUGACAGACUUCCCAGACAUAAUAGUGGCAAAUACGUACGGCGUUGAAGUGAAAGGAAAUGAAGGAAGAGCUGGCAUGAGCUGUGUUGUGUCGUCUAGUUGCAGUGAGAACAUGUUAAGUCAGUUGUAUGUUCACUUGACGGAAAGACUUCCAGCUUACGCAUGUCCAAAAUUCCUGCGCUUUGUCAAAGAAAUGCCAGUGACUGGAACGUAUAAGCACCGUAAGGUUGAGCUUCUCAAAGAAGGAUUCGACCCACAAAUCGUUGAAGAUCCCAUGUAUUUUUUUGACCAAACUGCUAAAUCGUACUCGUUAUUGGACAUGCCGGCCUUUGAAAAGAUUUUGCGAGGAGAAGUUCGCUUGUAAAUAAUUUUCAGAUUUGAAAUGCCUUAUUGAAUAAGAUACACACCAAAACUGACCAAUUAUAUAUUUUUAAGAUUUUUAUAGUUAUUGUUUGUUAAUGAAGUGUAUUGUGAAUCAUAUUUUCAGUGAAGGAAAGAAUAUCAAUAAGGUACUGAACUCUAUACGUCUCACCAAUUUUGUGCCUAUAUAGUGUGUGUAAGUCUACAUUUACUUAUUUUUAUUUAAUUUUUCACAAACAAAUAUUAAUGAUAUAAACAGCAAACAUAAAAAAUGUCUCCGACUUAUAGUGAAUUCCAUAGAAAAUUUAAAAUCUUCGUUUUUUGACUUGAUAACUUAACUGCUAGCAGAUAUAUACAUAUAAUAAUACGCCUACUACAAACUAAUAAAAAGGGUACAAAACAAGUAUGUACAAAUGACAUAAUAAAUUACAUAUUAUUGGAUCUAUAUUUUUAAUGUUAUUACUUGAAACUCAUCGUAUAUUCGAAGAAUUUUUUUUUUUAACGAGACAAGUAUUUGUACAAGUUCAUGUAUCGGUAUCCAAAUAGUUUUUCGUUCUUCAUACAACCUAUGUUAUCUUGUAUUUUAUUUAAGUUUAUGGAAAUUAGGAGAAUUUAUAUAAAUGUUCUAUUGACAAGUAUGAAGUUAUCUUUAACAAGAGAAUAAUGAAAAAUGAUGCGUAUAAAAUUAACGAUCAUAAAAACGAUCAAACAUAAUGCGUACAGUAUUACCAAUAAAUUAGAACCUCCUCCUUUUGGGACCCAUCAAUUUAGGGAACACUUUUUUUUUUAAGUGUGAAUUGAGAGCCAGAAAUGAAUCUUUUAACACUAUGGCUAACCCCUAAGGGGACACUUUGUUCGGUUCUGAAGGUGUCCCCUUAGUAGGGGUUUUACUGUACUUGAAUAUCACUAGGUCAACAAACUGUUUACAGCACAUACCGAGAACAAUCAGACACAAUAUUUUGAACAGACAAUAUGCAAUUAAUUUUUAAUCAAGUUGAGAAGCUUGUUCAAUAUAAAUCUAUUUUUCUCCUGUAGGUACUAAGUAUGUUUUUAUAUCUCUAUAUAUAUAUAAGUCUCAUAAUAGUAAGAGUUGAUUUAAUCUUGAAAUUAUUUUCUUUUUUAAUUAUCUGUAAUUUCCAAACAUUUAGAUGAAUAAAGUGAUGUCUAUGUCUAAGAUAAAUCUCCAAAUUAUGUUACGGGUUUCUGUUGUAAAAUAUCGAUUCUAUUAUAUUAUAUAUUAUUCUAAUGAAAGCUAGAAAAUAAUUACGAUAUUUAUAUUGUAACUAUUAACCACUUAUUAAGUAAUGGGUCUACAGUAUAUAUCACGAUUGACGUGAAGAUAUGUGUUUGUUAUUCAAAUUAAUAUUGAAGCCACGUUUAUAUACAUACAUAUAAAUAAUGAUGUGAAAACGCAUAUCCAUGCAUAUACGUAAAGCAUGCAUAGCAUAUGCAUAUGCAUAAUGCAAUAUCUACCAAACAAAGAUAGUACCUGUACUAAUAUGGAGUGUAUCAUGUUGUCAAUUCAAUAGAAAACGUUCAUCCUCAAUGGUUAAAUUCAUUAUUAAUAUAUACGUGUUACAGUACUAAUGUUCAGAGAUAUUGAAGAGAAGGCACAGUCACAUAGUUGUCUGGAUCCUACUUUAUUCUUUUACAAUAAACGAGAACGUCACAAAUACAA
rnacentral:misc_RNA from 1 species